rnacentral:lncRNA from 1 species
GGUGAUCAUGCUGUCUCCCCAGGGGGCUGCUUCAAACCCAAGAUACCUCCCAUUUCCAGAACUGGUUGUGAUGAGAGACUUCUUUUUUAAAUUCCCAGGAGAAACCUGGAUCCUUAUCAAUACCUCCUUCUCUUCUCCUGGCUGGCAUUGCCAGAGGUGAGGGAUGUUUUAAUAGCUAGGAUCAGAAGGUCUUGCCAUCCCUUCUAAAAUCCCACUGUA